AAAUACAGAAAUACAGAAAUACAGAAAUACAAAUACAGAAAUACAAAUAGCAGAAGUACAAAUGCAGAAAUACAAAUGCAGAAAUGUGGUUUAUUUCCAUGUGAAAUGGGAGGAACUGAGGGAAAAACCAUCAUUUUUUUGGUUAUUUCAGUGGCCUUGGUGAGAUAAAGUAUGAAAAUCAUGUGGGAGGAUAUUCAAAAUAUCUCUGAUUUUGGCUGGAGUGUCCUGUAAAGGCUCUUUAGCAAUUUGGGAGGAGCAGGUCUAAAAGAACCCUCUAGAUUUUGAUUUAUUUAUAUAUUUUAAACCUGAUUUCUGAGCUCUGAGAUGUGGAACCAUUUGGAAAAUCCUUCAUGAGGAUUAUUUUGCAAAUGUUUGUUAUCUCCUGUCUUCCUGUGGGGAACUGGUAUUUUUAUACAGGAAUUUCUAUUUUUACUGUUCAAACCAAGAAUUCAUCAAACAAAGUUGGAGAGGCACAAGUAGACUUGAAAAUUGUCUCAAAAUAAGAGUUUUUGUCAUUAAAUCUUACCUGAACUCAACAUUAUUGAAAUGACUUUGCUCUGUUUCCCUCUGUGGUUUGGGAUUUGAUUUCAGUGUGGUCUGGGUUUAAUUUUCCCUCUUCCAGCUACUCUGAUUUUGAUCUUGACUAAGUGAUUUAAUCCCUGAGAUUACAAUUUGAGUUAAUUUGUGAUUAUCCUAAUUUAUGUCCAGGAGCUGUGUUAAAAUUAAAUGUCUGCUGCCAUUGUUUUUUAGCAGAAUUUUUUUACUGAUCAACUUAAUUACCAAUUUUCCAUGAAUAUUUAGUGGUUGAAUAUUUAAAAUUAUAUAAAUAAAAUAAUUCUUCAACACAGAAAGAACCAGUUCAAAAACACCCAUGUAUUUACAAGACUUUUUGGGGGCUGGUUUUAAAAUACAUUUAUUUCCAGUUGUCAUUUAUCACCUGUUUUAUUACAGGACCAAAUUAAAAAAUAAAAAUUAAAAAAGGGUUCAGUAAAUGGAAUGAAGUGAAAGUAAAUAGAAUGAAAUGAAAAUAAAUGGAGUUAAAUGAAAGUAAAUGGAAUGAAAUGAAAGUAAAAGGAAUAAAACUGAAAUAAAUGGAAUAAAAUCAGUUGAAGCCUGGUGCAGAGUGAGGGAAAAUGGAUGCAUGACAAAAAGAAAAUGCAGAGAGGUGAUGGCAGGUAGGAGUGGUGCAGAAAAGAUGAAUAUUCAGGGAUCUGUGGCCCAGCCAGGGUAGGUUAAUUCUGAAUUCCAGGCUGGAUUUUGGAGUUCUGGUGUCACCUGGGGACUGUGAGUCACUGCAGAGUUGAGCAAGGGCUGAUUUCAGCCUCCAGGAAUCCUGGCAGGGCACAGGCUGUGCCUGCCCAGGGCUGCCAGGAUCUGGGGGAGAGGUGAAUUCAGAGCUGAACCUGCCACCUGCAGCCUGGGAAGAGCUUUUCUUGGUGCUUUCACCAUUUCUCAGGUGUGUCCUGAGCAAAGAGAAACUGGAAUUCUCCAGCCAAGUUUUCAGUACAGGCUGAAUUUUUGGUGUUGUUUGAGCUCCCUGGCUGGUGAAAAUCACCUGGAGGGAAUGUGGGAGUGCUGUGCUAUCAGCUGGGUGCAUCUGAAGCAAAGCAAUCAAAUAGUUAAUAUUAAAAAACUGCAUUUCUGCCUUUCAGAUUGGCACAGCAGGGGUUGCAUUUCAUGGCUGACAUUAGCCAGGCUCUUCCAGCUCCUGCUUCUUUCACAUCCUGCUUUUCAUCCCUCCUCCCUCCUCAAGGGUUUUUUAAUGCAGCUCAUUCUCAGUGUGGUUAAUAAGCAAAUUUGUCAUCUGCUUAUUUUUGUCUUUGCUUCCCCUCCCCCCAGCCCUCCCUCCUGCUCAGCCCAAAUUACCAGGAAUUGCAGAUAAUGCUCCUGUGAAUUAUCCUUUGCUGCAGGGCAGCUCUGCAGUCCCUGGGCCAAGCUGACUUCACUUGUGUGACUAACAAAAUAAAAAUAAAAAUUAAAAAAAAAAAAA